UUAAGCAUAUCAAUAAGCGGAGGAAAAGAAACCAACAGGGAUUCCCCUAGUAACGGCGAGUGAAGCGGGAACAGCUCAAAUUUGAAAUCUGGCCCUUGGGUCCGAGUUGUAAUUUGCAGAGGAUGCUUUUGGUGCGGUGCCUUCCGAGUUCCCUGGAACGGGACGCCUUAGAGGGUGAGAGCCCCGUACGGUUGGACACCAAGCCUAUGUAAAGCUCCUUCGACGAGUCGAGUAGUUUGGGAAUGCUGCUCAAAAUGGGAGGUAUAUUUCUUCUAAAGCUAAAUAUUGGCCAGAGACCGAUAGCGCACAAGUAGAGUGAUCGAAAGAUGAAAAGCACUUUGAAAAGAGGGUUAAAUAGCACGUGAAAUUGUUGAAAGGGAAGGAUUUAUGACCAGACUUUUUCUAGGGGGAUCAUCCGGUGUUCUCACCGGUGCACUUCCCCUAGUUGAGGCCAGCAUCGGUUUCUGUCGGGGGAUAAAAGCUUUAGGAAUGUGGCUCCCUCCGGGGAGUGUUAUAGCCUGUUGCAUAAUACCCUGACGGGGACCGAGGUUCGCGCAUUGCAAGGAUGCUGGCGUAAUGGUUAUUAAUCACCCGUCUUGAAACACGGACCAAGGAGUCGAACAUUUGUGCGAGUGUUUGGGUGUUAAACCCUCACGCGUAAUGAAAGUGAACGGAGGUGAGAGCCUUUCGGGGUGCAUCAUCGACCGAUCCUGAUGUCUUCGGAUGGAUUUGAGUAAGAGCAUUAAUGUUCGGACCCGAAAGAUGGUGAACUAUGCGUGGAUAGGGUGAAGCCAGAGGAAACUCUGGUGGAGGCUCGCAGCGGUUCUGACGUGCAAAUCGAUCGUCAAAUCUGCGCAUGGGGGCGAAAGACUAAUCGAACCAUCUAGUAGCUGGUUACCGCCGA
rnacentral:rRNA from 2 species